AGCGAGGUGGAGAAAAAGGAAGAACUCAUUAGGCUCAUGACCUGAAGACUGCAGGUUCAAACCCUGCCCUCGCCA
rnacentral:tRNA from 1 species